rnacentral:rRNA from 1 species
AACUGGGGGANUAGCCCGGGGAAACCCGGGAUUAAUACNUCGUAACAUAAUGGAGUGGCAUCACUUUAUUAUUAUAGCUCCGGCGGUUUUGGAUGGGCGUGCGCCUGAUUAGGUAGUUGGCAGGGUAAUGGCCUACCAAGCCUACGAUCAGUAACUGGUGUGAGAGCACGACCAGUCACACGGGCACUGAGACACGGGCCCGACUCCUACGGGAGGCAGCAGUAAGGAAUAUUGGUCAAUGGACGCAAGUCUGAACCAGCCAUGCCGCGUGAAGGAUGAAGGUCCUCUGGAUUGUAAACUUCUUUUAUAUGGGACGAAACCCUCGGAUUCCUUCCGGGAUAGACGCCAUU